AUGGCGACUGGCCCGCUGAUGCUCACCGUCGCCCUCCUCAUCAGCUCGCUCCUCCCGGCUGCAUUGUCCACCACGUUCACGCUGACCAACUCCUGCGCCUACACGGUGUGGCCGGGCCUGCUGUCCGGCUCCGGCACGCCGGCGCUACCCACCACGGGCUUCGCGCUGGCGCCGGGGGAGUCGCGCGCCGUGGAGGCGCCCUCGGCGUGGUCGGGCCGCAUGUGGGGGCGCACCCUCUGCGGGACGGGCGCCGACGGGCGGUUCGCCUGCGCCACCUGCGACUGCGGCUCGGGCGCCGUGGAGUGUGCCGGCGGGGGCGCCGCUCCCCCGUGCUCGCUCGCGGAGUUCACCCUCGCCGGCUCCGGCGGAAAAGACUUCUACGACGUGAGCCUCGUGGACGGCUCCAACAUCCCCAUGGCCGUGCUCCCGCAGGGCGGCGGCGGAGAAGGGUGCGGCGCCACGGGGUGCCUGGCGGACCUGAACGGGCCGUGUCCCGCGGAACUGCGGGUGGCCGGGCCCGACGGCGCCGGCAUCGCCUGCAAGAGCGCGUGCGAGGCGUUCGGGCAGCCCGAGGACUGCUGCAGCGGCGCGUUCGCCGGCGGGCCCGAGGCGUGCCGCCCGUCGGCCUACUCCAUGUUCUUCAAGAACGCGUGCCCGCGCGCCUACAGCUACGCCUACGACGAUGCCACCUCCACCUUCACCUGCCCCUCCGGCACCGCCUCCUACCUCGUCGUCUUCUGCCCCGCCGCCAUGUCCAGCCUCAAGUCGUCCGUGGUGAGCACGAGCACGAGCACGAGCACCUCGCCGGCGCUGCCCCACGUCAACGACACCGUCUCCUACCUGGGCCGCAGCCGCGACGCCGGCAGCGGGUGGCAGCACGCGCCGAGCUCGAGCCACGCUUCGUCUUCGGCGCCGAGCUCCCUCGCAAUCGCAGCCGUCGCCGCGUUCACGUGGCUCUGCUGCAGCAGCGCCGGGCGCCACUGGCCGCUUCUGUCUCCGUCCUAG
rnacentral:rRNA from 1 species